CCUACGGGAGGCAGCAGUGGGGAAUAUUGCGCAAUGGGCGAAAGCCUGACGCAGCGACGCCGCGUGAGUGAUGAAGGUCUUCGGAUCGUAAACCUCUGUCGGCAGGGAAGAACGUUCACGGUGCUAACCAGCAAUGAAUUGACGGUACCUGCCAAGGAAGCACCGGCUAACUCCGUGCCAGCAGCCGCGGUAAUAUGGAGGGUGCGAGCGUUAACCGGAAUUACUGGGCGUAAAGCGCUCGUAGGCGGUAUGUCAAGUCAAGGGUGAAAUCCCCGCGCUCAACGUGGGAACUGCCUUUGAAACUGGCAGACUGGAGUGUGUGAGAGGAUAGUGGAAUUCCAGGUGUAGGAGUGAAAUGCGUAGAUAUCUGGAGGAACAUCAGUGGCGAAGGCGGCUAUCUGGCACAUAACUGACGCUGAGGAGCGAAAGCGUGGGUAGCAAACAGGAUUAGAUACCCUAGUAGUC
rnacentral:rRNA from 1 species